ACACCAAACAAAAUCUUGAAAUCCAUGUCCUGAAAUGCAAAAUCAGCAGCUUUGAGAAAAGCUUUUGCUUAAUGGAGGAAAAACUCUUCAAACAGGGAAAUGAGUUGAACAAAGAGAAAGUGCUCCUCCACGCAGACUGAGAACAAGCAGGAAGCUGACAAAGACCCAAAGCCCACAGCAAAGAGAACUGGAUCAGACAUGUCACCACCCAGGAAAGCUCAAAAGCCUCGACUUGAUGCUGCUUCACCUGAUCCUACAAACACAACACACACAACACAAUCUCUCCUGUACAGUGCGUUAGAAACACUACAAAAGUCCUGUUCUGAUACAGACAGGAUUCAUGCACUUACAGGAACAAGUGAACUUCCUGUUCUGAGAGAUGAAG